CAGCAGCCGCGGUAAUACGUAGGUGGCAAGCGUUGUCCGGAAUUAUUGGGCGUAAAGCGCGCGCAGGCGGUUCCUUAAGUCUGAUGUGAAAUCUCGCGGCUCAACCGCGAGCGGCCAUUGGAAACUGGGGAACUUGAGUGCAGGAGAGGGGAGCGGAAUUCCACGUGUAGCGGUGAAAUGCGUAGAGAUGUGGAGGAACACCAGUGGCGAAGGCGGCUCUCUGGCCUGUAACUGACGCUGAGGCGCGAAAGCGUGGGGAGCGAACAGGAUUAGAUACCCUGGUAGUCCACGCCGUAAACGAUGAGUGCUAAGUGUUAGAGGGUAUCCACCCUUUAGUGCUGCAGCAAACGCAUUAAGCACUCCGCCUGGGGAGUACGGCCGCAAGGCUGAAACUUAAAGGAAUUGGCGGG
rnacentral:rRNA from 1 species